UAAUUAAGCGGAGGAAAAGACAUGAACUAGGAUUGGUCUAGUAACGGCGAGUGAAGUGCCAACAGCCCAUGUUGCGAAUCAACACUUAUGUUGAAUUGUGGUCUGCAGGUUGCUCCACCCAUUUGAAUGUACGAAGUCCCCUGGAAUGGGGCAGCAGAGAGGGUGAGACUCCCGUUUGUACAGGCAUAUGAGGGGUUAACCAAUGAGUCGAGUUGUUUGGGAUUGCAGCUCUAAUUGGGUGGUAAAUUCCAUCCAAGGCUAAAUACUGGUGGGUGACCGAUAGUGUACAAGUACCGUGAGGGAAAGAUGCAAAGCCGCGCGAAAGCGCUGUCAAAGAGUACCUGAACUUGCUGAAAAGGAAGCAAAGGAAACCAGUGUGAGCUUUCCUGCAUUUUCUCCCUUGCUUGCAGAGGAGGCGCUGCAGCUAGCAUGGUCCGAACUACCAAAAUGCAUUGAAUGAGCUGUUGUUUACUGUGUGUUGUGUUAGUUGGGACAAAAUGGUUUUCUUUUUCCCG
rnacentral:rRNA from 1 species